CCGAGUGACAAAGGCUGAACCAGACAACGAAACUGGUCUCUGGACUGCACAUCAGGACCAGCAGAACCUACGAAAGAUCCAGUUUAACUGUCUCCCAAAGAGGACAGCCACACCCAGGAUUAAACAGAAGUAUCGUGAAAAAUGAUAUGGUGAUUACCUCCAAGAUGGUGAACAAAUGUUUCAUCACCUAGCCUUUUGGCUAAAAGAGGAUUCCCAGAUGCAAGCAAAUAAUACAGUGAAAGGAUCAGUGGGACUUAUGCUUCCACUGUGGUGGACCCACAGGGACCAAGUUUGCCUCCCAGCUAAAACUACUGAAGACUGGACAGGACGCAUGAAAUGACGCCUUUUCAGACAUUGGACAACUGGACCAGGGCGCUGCUAUCCCUGGUAGAAGAAAAGCAAAAGAGGCAAGGGCGGUAAUUGCUCCGUCUUGUUGACCGGAGGCAUUUUUCAAGCCUCAGCACAGAGGGGUGAAACCCCGACAGAGCCCAGAGGUAUCAAUGCAUCAAGGAAACAGAGAUCAGAGUUUGGGAGGAUGAGGCAGCACAUUCUGUAAGACAGGAGCAAGCUGUGCAUACAGAGGGCGCAUACUAAAGGUCUGUAGAAGGCUCUGCUGAACUUUUUGGCUGAGUCCCGCCCUGCACCUGUCUCAGAGGAAGCUCCUGACUCACAGGCUAGGACUGAACCAUCAGGAAACAGUACAAUUCCUAGGAAUAGUUCGUAUUCCCAUCAGCCGGAGUGCAAA